GUCGAGCGGACCGACGGGAGCUUGCUCCCUUAGGUCAGCGGCGGACGGGUGAGUAACACGUGGGUAACCUGCCUGUAAGACUGGGAUAACUCCGGGAAACCGGGGCUAAUACCGGAUGCUUGAUUGAACCGCAUGGUUCAAUCAUAAAAGGCGGCUUCGGCUGCCGUUUACAGAUGGACCCGCGGCGCAUUAGCUAGUUGGUGAGGUAACGGCUCACCAAGGCGACGAUGCGUAGCCGACCUGAGAGGGUGAUCGGCCACACUGGGACUGAGACACGGCCCAGACUCCUACGGGAGGCAGCAGUAGGGAAUCUUCCGCAAUGGACGAGAGUCUGACGGAGCAACGCCGCGUGAGUGAUGAAGGUUUUCGGAUCGUAAAGCUCUGUUGUUAGGGAAGAACAAGUACCGUUCGAAUAGGGCGGUACCUUGACGGUACCUAACCAGAAAGCCACGGCUAACUACGUGCCAGCAGCCGCGGUAAUGCGUAGGUGGCAAGCGUUGUCCGGAAUUAUUGGGC
rnacentral:rRNA from 1 species